UAUAGCUUCUUCCCGUUUGUGCUGCUCACGCUCUCUGUCGAUCUCCUUGGUCUGCUCUGAACGAGCUUUCUGCACUUCUCUUUCUCGUUCACGCAAACUCGCCUCAAUGCGAGCCUGUCUUUCCAGCUCCUUUUCCUUUUCAGAAUCUAAAUUCUUAGCUAUUUUUUCAAUGUACUGUUUGAAAAGGUCUUCCCUCUGUGAAGAGCUAUCCACAGCUUUGUAACGAGGGUCAGUCUCUACUUUGUCCUUCACUUUGCUCCAGCGAGACUGACUGUCCAGGUGGUGGUUAGCCAGUAGUUCAAAGAAGUCCAUUUUGAUCGGAGCUGCGGGAGGCUAAAGUCACCACACAGAGAUACCAAUUCUUUCCUCACUAGGGAAUCCCAUAAUAUUUGCGUGUCAGUGAUUGACAGCUGUCAGACUGAACUGAUUGACAGGCCGCACAGCACAUAACUGUAA
rnacentral:lncRNA from 1 species